rnacentral:lncRNA from 1 species
CCCUAAGGCCAUGAUGAAGACGCUUGUCUUUAUCCAGCACAGGUUUGUGCUCAGAAGCCCCUACACCAGCUGCUGCGUGAUGGAGAACAGGAGUCAAAGCACGGAGGCCGGCAGAAAAUCAAGAGGCCGGUCCUGUGCAUGGGCAAGAGGCCUCAGGGAUAUAUUAGCUGAGGAGGAAGCCGAGGUUGGGAAAGGUGGAGGGACUUGCCCAAGUCACACAAACGACAACUCAGCAGAGCUGAGAAUUGGCACCCAGGGCAACUGGAGUCCAUCCUGAGCUUGUCACUGCUGGGCUCUGAGACCUCCUGGUGAAGAAGGACAGUGGCAGAGACAGCCCGACCCAGAGAAACCCAGCAACGCUACUUUCUAAGGGCAUUUUUCCCUCUCAUUUGGAAUCCUGAGCCUCCUGCUCGUCCUGUAGGCCACACCCAGCAAACAGGUGGGUUUCAUUUCCUGGAGAAACCACAGAUGGAAAGUCCCAGCCAUGGGCUCCGUGUGACCUGGUGGCCUUAAGAAGCUCCCCCCACCGCCCCUCAGCCCUUUAAUCAUUUACAAAGCAGGGCCACACAGAGCAUCUAUUUUCUUUCUGGAACAUCAGAGCUGGCUGGGAACUGGGAGAAGAGCUGGAGCAACAGCCUGCAUCCAUUUCCUCUUGCUGCAAUAACAACUGAUCACAAGAUGGAGUCUCACUCUGUCAACCAGGCUGGAGUGCACUGGC